rnacentral:rRNA from 1 species
CAAGGAAUCUUCCGCAAUGGGCGAAAGCCUGACGGAGCAACGCCGCGUGUGGGAUGACGCCUUUCGGGGUGUAAACCACUUUUCUCAGGGAAGAAGCACUGACGGUACCUGAGGAAGAAGGACCGGCUAACUACGUGCCAGCAGCCGCGGUAAUACGUAGGGUCCGAGCGUUGUCCGGAGUUACUGGGCGUAAAGCGCGCGCAGGCGGCGGUGUAAGCAUGGCGUGAAAGCCCCAGGCUCAACCUGGGAGGGUCGUCGUGGACUGCACCGCUUGAGGGCGGUAGGGGCUGGUGGAAUGCCUGGUGUAGUGGUGAAAUGCGUAGAGAUCAGGCGGAACACCCGUAGGCGAAGGCGGCCAGCUGGGCCGUCCCUGACGCUGAGGCGCGAAGGCGUGGGGAGCGAACGGGAUUAGAUACCCCGGUAGUCCACGCAGUAAACGAUGCAGACUAGGCGUGGGGGGAGUUGACCCCCUCCGUGCCGGAGCCAACGCGGGAAGUCUGCCGCCUGGGGAGUACGGCCGCAAGGCUAAAACUUAAAUGAAUUGACGGGGUCAUAGCUGUUUCCUG